AUAAUGAUACUUCCGUCCAGCCACAGUCUAAAGCAAUGGGGGCGGCUUUGCGAAAACCGCAUCGGGGUGAGAUUCCCAUGA
rnacentral:ncRNA from 1 species